UCAGCUGCUGACUGGAAAGCUGAGCUAUUCAUCUUUCCACACAAGACUGGGAGGUUGAUGAAGAAGCUCGGAUCUGGAGUGCUGUGCAAAGUGAAACCUUCGCUGGACCCAAGACGAGGGCUGUCCGUGGCCAGAAGAGAGAACCAGACCAUGGUUGUGAGCCACCAUGUGGUUGCCAGGAAUUGAACUCAGGACCUUUGGAAGACCAGGCUAAUCAGAUGAGUGUCAAGUGUCCUAGGUGACAAACACAAACCACCACAGCAACUAAGGACGAUAAUGAAAUGGCUCAGUGCAAAUGCUGGGAAGGGAAAAGUAAAGACAUCAAACCCAGAAUUAAUUCGGCCUGAGGUCUAAUUGGAGAAACAGCAGCGCCAACCGGAG